rnacentral:misc_RNA from 1 species
CUGGACUCGCAAGACUCCUACACCCUGUGAACCUUCUGAAAGACACGUUGCCUCGGCGGCGUCCUCGCCUCCUGCCGGGGGCGGGCGCGCCGCCAGCGGCACAACUACCCUGCAUCGCGCGUUGGCAUCUCGAGGACGACGAAGCAAUCAA